ACAAAGGGGUCGGGGCAGGACCUGGGUGGGCUCUGGGAGGGAUCAGCAUCUCCAGGUGGGACAUUCCCUGUCCAUCCCUGGCCUUUACCAGCUGCAAGUUCAGACCCAGAGCACCUCUCCCUGCUUGGCAGUGGCCACUGGUGCAGUAGAUUUAAUAAAUCUGCUCUUCCUUCUUUCUCCUCCUUAAUAAUCAAGGUGAUCCAGCUCAGAGUCCGUAAGUGACACCUCUUAAAACUCAGUUUUGCUUGCAGUAGGUCACACUGCCUUUUCUGCUUUCUGAAGGCGUCCACAGAGCAUCCAAAAGUCUGCUGGUGGCAGAGGAGCUUAAGUCAUGAAAGCUUGUUUGAGAAUCAGGUGUGAGAUCCAUUUGGAAUUAUCAUUUCCCUUUAGUGUGGACGUGGUGGCAGUGCAGUGGCACACAGUAGCCAAGCUGGCUCCAGAACAGAGAACAUCCCAGCCCUUCCCUGAGGCCUUUUCCACCUGCUUGGAAUAUGUUAUUUAACAGUAGGAGCAAAGGUUUGCACAACUUGCUUAUAUAUAAUUUGAGAUUGAUCUCUGUCACCAAAAUAUGAAUUAUUAGCACCCCCUGGGUGGGGCUGGGGGUGCCCCUGGGCGUGGUGGUGGCUCAGGAUCCACCAGCAGGGAGCACAGACAGCAGCAGUUCCGUGGGCAGAGCCUCUUCCCACGCGGGUUUCUUCAGCCUGGCGAGUGAAAUCCUGUUCAGCACCUAAAAAUAUUCCUUUUUCUCAGUGCUCUCUGCUGUUCCAGGGGGAGAAUCCACAGCCUGCUGGAGUUUGAGGACUGCAGUGCUUGGCCUUGGGUGUGUCAGCAUUAAAAAUCCCAUUUUUUGGGAAUAUUUUGGGCAUUGCUUUUCCUCCCGAUCUGUUUUUGGGGAAGCUCCACAGAAGACAUAAUUUAUUUUUUACUCUUUUGGUUUUUUUGGGGUGGGUUUUGGGAAAUUAGCCUGAGGUUGUGUUUAUAAAAGGUGUCUUGGUGGUAGAGAAAUUUCCUGUAGGCCAGCUGGGGGAAAAAUGGCAUUAAACUAAUUUUAUUUAAUAUGACCUAAAUUAAAUACUUUGGGGUUGGGUUUUUUGGGUUUUUGGUUUUUUUUAAUUUUAUUUUUUUGGUCCAAUUCACAAAGCUUUUCUUACAGAUCCCUAUUUUCUUUGGGAAUAGGACAUCAAACUGAUGCAGAGCUCCAAAAAAAAAAAAACAAACAACUGAUGUUUUCCUAAAUCCUAUUUGCUUUCCUUUCUAUUAAUCACCAAUUAACAGAAUUUGCUAAUUUGCACUGAGUGGGAGACCUGUUGCCAACCCCAAAAACUUUGUGCUAGUGAUUUUAUUCACGGAGGAAGUUCAGGUGGAAUGUCCACUCCCGUGCCUGUAAAUGUGAGGAGAAAAAAUGUAAGGGGAAAAAAAAAAAAAAUCUGAAAUUUUAGGGUGCUGUGAGUGCAAAAUCAUCUCUGGGGAUAAAGGUUCAGGGUGGGGAAAACGGGGCUGAGGAUUUUUGGUGUGGAAGAGAGGAUUUUUUAGGGAGGUUUUGCUGGAUUGGGGCUGAUGUCACUCAGCUGCCCCGGAGCUGGGUCUGGGAGUGUUUGGGGUGAUAAUUCCAUUGUCCCAGGAUUGUUUAAUCCUGCAGAGGAUUUUUGGGGAGCUCCAGAGACUCGGCAGUGUCUCAGUCUGGCGAUGCUGCUGUGGGGAGGUGAAUUUAAUUCAUUUAAAAGGAGCUUGGAAGGCUCUUUGGCCUCAAGGAUUCCUGUGGGAUUUGAUGAUCCUUAGGGAUCCCUCCCAGCCUGAGGGGUUCUGUGGUGUGGUUUAAGGGGUUUUUGGGGUUUUUUUGGGGAGUCUGCCAGCUCCUGCAGAGCAGUUCACCUUCACCUGCAGCAUCCCCCCCCAAGCUCCCAAGGAGUGGGAAAGGAUGGAAAGGUCAGGAAGAGGGUUUGAGGUGUGGUUGUGACAGCUCCCAGAGUUGUUCCAGUUAUUCCCUGCAGGCUUUGAGACACCCUAAAAAAAAAAAAAAAAAAAAAAAAAAAAAAACAAACAACAAAAAAAACCCUAAAAAAAAACCACACACAAACCUAAAAGAAAAAAGUUGCUCUGCUUUGGGAUAAACUCGGGAUCGAUGGAGCCGUGGGGAUGGUGAUGCCCACAGCAGGAAAACAUUCCUUGAGUUGAGCCAGGGAUGUGGGAAUUAUCACCUCCGUGGGAUUUGGCGAGUGGAAAAGCCCCUGGGAAAAGGUGGUUUGUGGCUGAACUCACCUGGGGCCAGGUGUAGAUGUAGCAGCCAAUCCCCUCCACGUCCCAAAAGAGGCAAUAUUGAACCUUCCAGUGCCUCAGCAGCUGGAAAAAGGGGAUUAUUCCAGGGGAUUAUCUCCUGGAAUAAAAACCCAGGAGAUUCCAGGCCUGCUCAGACAGCACAGGCUCCCAGUGUCGUUGGUUUUGAUAAGAAAGCCUUAAAAAAAAAAUGUUUAAAAUCCACUGAAUUUCUUCUGAAGCUCAAAUAACCUCGAGUUGAGUUGGAACUGGGUGAUUUUUAGGGUCCCUUCCAACCCAAACCAUCCUGGGCUUCUCUGACUCCUUGCCCUGGUGGGUGGAGAUUUUUUUUUUUUUUAGGGAUUUUUUUUUUUUUUUAGGAAUUGCAGGAGGAGGAGGAACUUCUUCAAACCAAAAAAUGGGCAAAGCGAUGAUGGCCUGGCCAUGGGGGGUUGUGGGUUUAUUCCUUGUGGUUCCUGAUUUCUCCUGGAUUUCUCACUCUCAGAGCUGCUGCAGGAGGGAGUGGUGGUGUCCGAAAUCUGAGUGAAAAUCAGGAUCUUCAGGCAUAAAAAGUAUUUCCUGUGGGGCUUUAUUUUUUUCAUUCUGUUUUCCAGAUUUCACCCCGCAGCGCAGAUGAAUUUGUCAGCAUUGAAUUUGUACAGAUCCUUUCCCGAAGUAACUUCCUCCCUCUUAUCUCCUUUAAUACUUUACCCAAUAAUAUUUUAACGAUUUAAUUUUAUUUUAACCAUAGGAAUUUCAGAGUUGCAGAGGCUCUUUCUAAAUUUAUUGACUUGGAGAAAAAAAAAAAAAAAACAAAAAAACCCCUUGUUGAUACCAUAAAUACUCAUCUUGAUCUAGAUGAAUUCCUUAUUUUUGCACCAGAAUCCCUAAUUUUUUUGCAGUUUAAAGUGCACUUUUUCAUAAAAAAAAAAACUUAUAUUCCUGAUGAGUGUCUUAUGUGCUGAAAGGGAAAUUCUGCCAAAACUCCAGAGCUGAGGGCGUUGUUAAUUCUUCGAGGUGUUCAUUGAAACCUGGGACCUGCUUCUGCUCAGUCUAUUUUUAAGACAAAAUAAGGGAGGAAAUACCUCCCCAGAGAUAGGAAUUGAUGAUGGGGAAUGAAACUAUCACUGCCCUUACAGAAAACUCCGUGGUACUUCCAAAUCCACCUUCAGGUUUUCGAUUGCACCAGCCUCUUAAAUCACAAAUGUUUACGUCGAUGAUCAGGGAGUGCCUUGUCCUGUGCUGGGCUCACGUUUGGGAGGCAGAAUGGUGGGGAUGGGGAUGGAUUCGCCCCGUGUGUGGCUGGAAAAAAAAUUGGGCUGGAAACCCCUGAACUGGUGGGAAUCCCCAUUUUUAUCCGUGGGUGCUCCUCAGAGACUGCACUGAGUUCCCCAGGUGUGCUCACACACCCACAUGGACCUGAGGCAGCAAACAGAAUUUGUUGUUCCAUCCUCACUUUUGGUUGGGUUAACCCAAUUCCUGAGGGGUUUUUGCUGUUCCACCUUCACUUUUGGUUGCCUUAACUCAAUUCCUGAGGGUUUUCUGCUGUUCCAUCCUCACUUUUGGUUGGAUUAACCCAAUUCCUGAGGUUUCUUUGUUCCAUCCUCACUUUUGGUUGGAUUAACUCAAUUCCUGAGGGUUUUUUGCUGUCCCAUCUUCACUUUUGGUUGGACUAACUCAAUUCCUAAAGGUUUUGCUGUUCCAUCCUCACUUUUGGUUGGAUUAACCCAAUUCCUGAGGGUUUUCUGCUGUUCCAUCCUCACUUUUGCUUGGAUUAACUCAAUUCCUAAAGGUUUUGUUGUUCCAUCCUCACUUUUGGUUGGAUUAACCCAAUUCCUGAGGUUUCUUUGUUCCAUCCUCACUUUUGCUUGGAUUAACUCAAUUCCUAAAGGUUUUGUUGUUCCAUCCUCACUUUUGGUUGGACUAACUCAAUUCCUAAAGGUUUUGCUGUUCCAUCCUCACUUUUGGUUGGAUUAAUCCAACUUUUGGUUGGGUUAACCCAAUUCCUGAGAAGGUUUUGUUGUUCCAUCCUCACUUUUGGUUGGAUUAACUCAAUUCCUGAGGUUUUUCUGCUGUCCCAUCUUCACUUUUGGUUGGACUAACUCAAUUCCUAAAGGUUUUGUUGUCCCAUCCUCACUUUUGGUUGGAUUAAUCCAAUUCCAGAAGGUUUUGUUGUUCCAUCCUCACUUUUGGUUGGAUUAACUCAAUUCCUAAAGGUUUUGCUGUUCCAUCCUCACUUUCGGUUGGAUUAAUCCAACUUUUGGUUGGGUUAACCCAAUUCCUGAGGGUUUCUUUGUUCCAUCCUCACUUUUGGUUGGACUAACUCAAUUCCUGAGGGUUUUUUGCUGUCCCAUCCUCACUUUUGGUUGGAUUAAUCCAAUUCCAGAAGGUUUUGUUGUUCCAUCCUCACUUUUGGUUGGAUUAACCCAAUUCCUGAGGGUUUCUUUGUUCCAUCCUCACUUUUGGUUGGGUUAACCCAACUCCUGAGGGUUUUUUGCUGUUCCAUCCUCACUUUUGGUUGGGUUAACCCAACUCCUGAGGGUUUUUUGCUGUCUCCUCUUGGAGCGAGGUGUUUGUCCUGACCCUUUCCCAGCCCUCGAGUCCCCCGCGUGUCCCUUGUGAAGCCACCCGGUGUCUGUGUGGCCACCUCAGGUGUCACCUCGUGCUUGUCAGGACUCUUGGAGCACCAAUCCCAGCCCGUUGGGGUUUCUGUUGUCUGUGUGUUCUUGCAGUGCCUUGUAAAUCCCAACAAUCCCAGAGGGGCUGUGGGGUCGGGGACCAGCGACGCGCUCCCAGCUUGUACUGCCAGACUGGACUUUGUACCUGAGGAUUUGAACCCCCGUUUCAAAGGAAAUAAAGAGUUUAACUCUGA